AUACUUAGUCAUAGACAUGUAUACCCUUAGUACGUGCGUGUCUUGGUGUAAUAUAAAUAAAUUUAUUAUUAAAUUCGUAGUUUGUGUUAAACAAAACACCUUUAAAAUGUUGCAUUAAAUUCAAAGCUAAAGCUGAAGCUGAAACUGAAGCUAAAACUGAAGAUGAUUGAGGUUUUUGAACCCAUCGAAGGACAGCGAUCGAUUCUUCGAACGAACUUGACUGAGUAAUUGGCCAAGCGGAUUGGGGGGAAUUCCAGUCGGUGUGGUCUAUGGCUUGGUCAGAUUACUCAGGCAAGGUGAGUUGUUGGUGAAGAGACUGGGCAGGCUGAAAAGAUUGAGGUAGGUGGACAGAAAGGUGGCCAGUAUGCCGAAGAGCAGCACGCCCAUGGUGCAGGAGAUGUCGCAAUCGAGGCGAUGCAGCAGCCGCACCAAACGCAGCCAGCAGCCGCGCGGUGAGUUGGGCUUGGCGGCCACCAGUAGCGGCUCCAUCUCGAGCUCAACCGGAUCGUAGUUCAGGUCUAGCGGCAGGCUGCCAUAGCUGCCCUCGGCGGCGAUCCGCUGGUGCACCCGCUCCAUGCGACGAAUGCGACGGUAGAGCAGCGGCGGCAGAAUGAACACCAGGGGCCCCGUUAUGGUGCCACCCACCACAUCCAUGAGGGCAUCAAAGCUCGGCACAAACUCCGCCACGAGCACCUCCAGGGCCAGCACACUGGACCGAAUGGCCAUGCGCUUGAAAGAGAGACCUGAAGAGCGGAAGAAAAAAGGAAUCUGUUUUCGAUCUGCAGGAACAUGGCAGAGCUGGCCACAGCCACGGAGAAGCAGAGCUGCAGCGACAUCAGGAUGAGCAUCACGUAGAAGGGCACGCUCGUGGGUAGCGACUGCAGCAGGUUGUUGGCAAUCAUGGAUCCAAACUUGUAGGCGGCAAUGAUGGACCCAAAGAUGGCCACGCUGCAGCAUGUGGAAUUCAUCUGGCAAUCACUUACUGACAAUUCCAAUCGUUGCCGCCCAGGAGACCUGCGACUUGCGCUUCAUGUCGAUCUGGAGGGUCAGCAGCACCGGAUGGAUGUCGAACUGGAAGGCCAGAAUGCUGUAGCUGUUCAGCAUGGUCAAGAAUCCCGGCAGCUCUGUGGAGAACAAGCCAUGGGCAUAAGCCUUAAAGACAGCGAAAACCUGUUCCCAUUUUACCCACCCAAGGAGAUGCCCUCGAAGGGUGUGCCAAUGGCAGGAGCAGCAAACAGACAAAACCAGAGAAGCGCCACAAUAAUAAUCAUCACACAGACGGCUAUGAUGGCGAGACCCCUGCAUAGAACGAUGGAGUAAAAUGUGGCAUCAGAGCAUCAUCUUACGGUUGCUCGCCUUCUCGCUCACCUCAUAUGCUUUGGACUGCCCAGCCACAUGAGCGGACAGAUGAUCAGACCCACAAUGAUGGCCCAGUAGCAGUAGGAGAAGUUGUAGUGGCCAGCGCUCAUGCGCAGGACGACAGCCUCCAGGUUCUCGGCGGCCAUCACCACACUGGGCACGGCCAUGGCAAAAAUGCUGAGAUCCAGCAGCACAGAGACCAGCAGACUCACAUACGGACCGUAGGCCAGCUCCGCCAGGGCGGCAUAGGGAUAGUUGCGCUUCUGCAGAAUGGAGGGAUCCAGGUGCUCGGCCAUGGUCCAGCACUGGGACAGCAGAAAGGAUGUGUAGAUCUGCAGGAAGAUGAUGGACAGCACCAGCAGCACUCCAAAGUAGCCCAGCUUCACCAGCAGAGCGGGCAGCGUGACGAACGGGAAGAUGCCGAACAGAUCCACCACAUAGAGGAUGGCAAUGAAGAGCGACAGGUUCUCCGGCUCGUCCUCGUAGGCGCGGAAAUGGGGCAGGGCACUGAAGCGGGCGCGCGACAGGAACGGCAACUGAUCAUGCUGAUGCGAGGGCGUCAGCUGCACGGGCGGACGCCGCUUCGGCAUGGGCAAAGGAUGGUGCGCGCGAGGGGCGUGGCGCUGGCUUGACAUUUUGCCGUCGGAAGAAGAACAUUCGCGUGGCCUCGGACUCGGAUGUAGACGCGACAACUGGAAACACUCAACUGUGGGCCCGUCUUAGACGCGCCCUGAAGUGUGCUGGCAACAAGUUCUGCCAUUUGUCAUCCGACACCGAAUGCACUGGGAAGCCCCUGCAAUGCACGUCGACUCUGACUCUGACUCUGUCGCUGGUCAAUAGCAAAGUUCAAUGCCUUCAUGCCUAGCUCCUUGGAUGCCGGAUGACCCACAAAAUGGCGAGGAAAUCAAUUAAUCCAUGUGAUUUAAGUGUUUAUUUUUACAUGCUCAUAUCAACAAUAGUUUCCCCUCCCCCUCAAUCCUGUAUCGAUCCUUGGCAUUGUCUUCAUUCAGCUUAAAGCUGCACUUGGGCAAUUUUCUGCUUCUUGGCCUGGCUCUGUGCAUAAAAGAUUCCAUUACUAACAGCUCAUCGACAUCUACAUCUAUGUCAUACAUACCUCUGAUUUCUCAUCGCUCUGCAUGGUGAUGACCUGCACCGCCUGGCCCGGACCGACACGCAAGAGUUUCGGGCCACGCUGCGAUGUGUCGCCGCAGCAGAAGACCCGCGAUGUCGCUUGCUGCAACUGCGGACUCGGGCUGUCCGACUCGUCCAUAUCCUGCUCGCUUAUGAGGGAGCUCGUGGCGUUCUUGUUGUUGUUGUCCGUGUAGGCGUGAUUAAAGAUCAAAUGAUUUGGACGCACUGCAUCCGUUAUAUACUUACUACAUACACAGUCCACGAGGUUAGGCAGGCGUGUCAGUACAACAGCAACAAAGGUUUGGUUAUUGUUUAAUGGGAAUACAUUUGAAGUGCCCAGCGGCAAUAUUGGUGUAAGUAAUUGAUACGUACACUGACCACCAAGGAUCUCAAGAAUUAUAGCACCAUAUAUAUGUAUGUAUAUUGCGGGUAUUAACAUAGGGUCAGGUGUAGGUGUUAGGCUCGUGGCAAGAACAGGGGGCAGGAGCCACA